rnacentral:misc_RNA from 1 species
UUGGUGACCUCUCGCUUCGGG